GAGCCGCGAUCGCCAAACAGACUGCGUGUGCAGCGGGAUGAGGUGAGACGAGAUGAGGGACAGGGCGGGCGCGGAGCUCACGGUCCCUCACAGCCUCAUCCGGCAUUGCGGCAUCCCCACCAAAGCCAUGAUGAAGGCAGCCCUUCCAGCUGGCUGCAUGGAUGCCAGAAGUGUCAGGUAAUGGAGAGUGUGAUGCCACAGCUGUGCACAUAUUAGUGCACAUAGAUUUCUCCACAGGAACUCAAGCUCAAACUGUGACUUCUUAAGGCUUCUAUAUUUGUGCGGUUCACAAAUACUUAAGCUGUUGUUUUUGUUUAGAGAAGAUGGAGCAGAGCUUAUGAUGGCUGUGAGGCAGCUCUGAAGCAUUAGUUUGUCAGGCUAUGCUGUAUGACUCUUAGCUUGCUCACUCAGAUUUUGUGCUUGCAUGCACUUGAUCUUCUAUGUGACCUCUCCAGAGAGAAGCAGCCUGAAGUCAGUAACCAGAGGAUUUAAGAGUAGCACGUUUCGUUUGUCUGAGAACUCAGUCAAGACCUGCUUCUUGACCAACCAGCUACAAGAUAUUUACAAUACAAAGAGAAGAGGCACAGCAGUCUGUUUUAUGACAGCAAGGCUGUGCUUCCAAAAGAAUCUGUAUGUAAAAUAAGGGAAAAGCUGUCUACGAAGCACUGUCUUCUCAUGUGUGUUUUGGCUCAUUGUGCAAACAUUAUAAAGUUCCGCAUCCUGUUUGUCAUAGAAUCAUGGAAUCAACAAGGUUGGAAAAGACCUCUGAGAUCAUCCAGUCCAACUGUCCACCUAUCACCAAUAGUUCUCAUUAGAUCAUGUCCCUUAGCACAACAUAUAAAUGUUCCUUGAACCCCUCCAGCGUCAGUGACUCCACCACCUCCCUGGGCAGCCCAUUCAUUUCAGAGAAGCAGUAUUUCGUAACAUCCGACUUGAAUCUCCCCCAGCACAACCUGAGGCUACAUACAUCAGUCUCAUGUUCCUGGCACAUAUGUUUUCACUGUCACUGUUAUUUUGCCCCAGGAAGAAAGAGUAUGUUCUAGCAGAUGUGGGGGGUUUUGUGUGCAUCAUUUAACAUGCACUUAGGAAAGUGCUUUGUCCUUAUAUAAAAUGUUUAAUUAAGCUGUUUGCUGGUAUCAGUAUGUUUGUACAGUAGAUGCCUUUGGCACCUAAUUUAGCACAUGAACAUUCUCAUCUUCUCCCCAGCAAUAUUCUUCAGUGUGAUUGGCGGCAUUAAAUUUGACUUUUGAAUAGGAGGUGAAAAAAUAAAACUCUAAUUGGAGUGGUUUUGUUUGCAAUUACUUAUUGAUGAGGUUUCUGACAAACAUUAUAUACUUUAGUGACUUCACUGUGCUUCAGUUAAAGGUAAAAUAGAAGUGAAAAUGGUUCUAAGGAAAGCAAACAAAGUAAAGAAAUACGCAUUAAGGGAAGAUGACCUAGGGCAAGGUGAAUUCUGUUUUGAUUUGAAUCUAUGUGCUUUGUAUUCUAAUUGUUUCUGGCACCAUGUUUUGCAGCCCUGAAGAAGUUAAUGAAAUAAAUGAAUCAAUACACUGAAAAAGAAAAAUCCCUGUCCUUUUUAUUUUGAAGCAGAUAAUCAACAAGGCAAGAAAGGUAGCAUGGGGAGUCCUAACCAUGGAGCCCGAAGCGGUGCCAAUAAAGGUACAAGAUGCUUAGAAACCCUAUGUGCAAAGUGGUGAAAUUCAUUGACCAGUACAGACAUAAGCAUGUUGGUUAUUCUUCCACUUGUUCCAUGUAUGUGGCAAAAAUGGAAAUCCUCUCAAAUAAGUAGUAAGUUAUUAUGGUUACUGUGGUUGUUACUAUCUGAACAGAAGAAAUCUUCUGGUAGGAGGCUACACAGCUAAAGAUAACUCAGAGACUGGUAGAACAAAAUAAGCCAUUUCUCUCAUGACCUCUCACUUCUCCAUUUACCAUUCCUUCCUGGAAAAGCAAUACUGUAAGACAAAAAGGCAAAACAUCUGGCCUUGGGAAACUGCAGGUGACAAAACCUGGCACAUGUAUACACAUACAAACUUCUGACAUGCACCAGCAUUGGAAAAGGAAGAUCUAAGAAAUAACUAACUGUGGUAAUAGUUCUGUGUGUUUUGAAGCGUUUAACUCUUCUCACGAGCGAUUCUUCUGUUCAAAGGUUAUUCUUGGUCUGGUUUUUCAGCCAACAACAGAUUUCAGUCAUUAACAAGGCCGGGAAACAUUUUAUCAUGACUCUCCAUUUUUAAUUACAAAGAAAUGCACGACCUUCCGUUAGUGUACAGGUGGAAGAGGAGGUCAGAAGUGCCUGUCAGCAGGUUGUUAUUGACUGCAUGAAGGUUUCUACCUCAACAAACAAAGCCGUAUGGCCUGGGACAUACAUUUGUGUCACGCAAACAGAAGCAUUUUCUGCACCCACUUUAAUGUGGUUGGAACAGGUUCGUAACAUGCAGCAGUGUAUCUAGUGGUCUUAGAAAAAUUUCUGACAUUUACUAUUUCUCUCCAUGCUUUGAGCUGCUGUAAAGUACAGUAGAACUUCUCAGUAAGAUAAUACUGUAUUUCAGUCUGACCAGCAAUUCUGCAUAAUCAGUAUAAUUAGAUUAAGGUUGAUUACUGCGUAAUGGGUCAAGGGCUCUGAAGAUCGCUCUGACCAGAGUUUUGUCAUUUUCCUUGUGAGCUGAAAAUAAAUCCUAAGCACGCAUGUUACCUGUGACUUCAGCAUUUUAAAUAUCCAACAGGGUGCUUUUCUUCUCAUAGGAUGCUGUUUCUUUCAGCAAGAACUUGACUGUCUGUUUUUCUCUGCCAUGGAAAGGGUAGUCAGAGAUCCAGCAGAAAGACAUUCAGUAAGAAAUGCUUCUUAGAAUCCAGGACCUGAAAAGUCACAGGUCCAUCCCAAAUGUAGUGGAAGCAAAAUGAGACUGUUACAGCAAAUUCAAACUGUUUGCUGCUUUUAUGAAUAAUUAAAAUGAAAAUCCGGAGUGUGUGUAGAAAUGAUGUGUUCUAAUAAUUAAGAUGUAUUGUGAGGUUUUUUUUUCCACUCUGAUGGGAUACAUACACACUCAAUGGCUCUUCUCUGAUACCUGUAUGAUGCACAUGAAUGCAUCUUCUUUGUUGUCUAAGUUCCUUCUGCAUGAGGGAUUGAGGUAUUAUUGUAGUUAUGAAGUUAAUUUCCAGUAGUUUGUCACAGCUGAGCACUGAAUACCCUCCUCUUCCUAAGAAGUUCCAAAGCAAUGGCAAUUCCAUGGGGUGGCUCUGAACCAUGUGUGAGCUGGUUUAGAGGACCAGCCUAAAGCUACUCUCAGCUACAGUUCUUGAACUUGAUAUAUGGUAUUCACAACACCAUUUACUGAUUUUAUUCUAUUCUACUGAAUAUGUAACAGAUACAGCUUUCAUUUUGGUCAGUCUGAGCUGUGAAUCUUACUGAUAACACAGUAAUAUUUAAACUCCUUCAAAGCUGAGGGUCACACAAGAUAAACAGAAUGACUUCCUUUACAUCAAGUGUCAUUUUCAGUUCCUUACACUUAGGAAAGGUGCACUUUAAUUUCUUUCCAGAGCCUCCCUAAAGAAAAGGCUACUCAAUAUUAGGAUCACUGAAGUGUUACUUAAGAAUAUAAGGAGAGUGAAACUUCACAGUAAAUCUGAAAGCUGCCCAGCCUUGAAGUUUCAUAGUCUGCAAAGUGAGAAGUGUCUUAGAGGCAGUGGUUAGGGACAUUAAUUUGUCUUGAGCCAUUUAACCUUACUGCAGUUUUCACAUGUGUAGGACUUGUAAUUUCCUAAUUUACUUUGCACAAUUCUUCCAGUAUCUAACUUGCAACAAGUUCUAUAAGAUAAGAUGUUGCUUGUGUUCCGAGUUGGAGGUUAGACUGCAUGCUGAAUUCCAGUGCACCCAUGGUUUUCAUUAAACUUGGUGUAAAUUUUCAUAGCUGGGUUUUGUGAAGGUCCCGUAAGUUGUGUAUUAAGUGGUUUAAAUUUGUGGGCUGUAUAUUCAGGAUACAGGAUUUUUUAGUAGUGGCUCUGUAGUGAAACAUCAAAAAAGCUGUUUGGAAACUGUGGUCCUAUGGAACGUUCACUGUCAAAUGGUUCUGUCUGUAGCUGUGGGUUACGUUUUUCUGUCAUGGACUGUUUCAUAGUAGGAGUCAAAGCUGAGAGCUAUACCGUGAUUAUAUAGGGCUUAUUUUACCCAAUGCGUGUUUUAUUCACACUUCUUUAAGCUCAUAAAACUUUGGUAGUAUGACAAGUGUAUAAAUCUACUGUACAUAACCAUUGUUUUUACAAUGAGUGAACAAGAAGGGUAGAUGUUGUAGAAAAUAAAGACAAGAAAUUAAGUUGGAUGCAUAAUUUAGUAAUGUGUGGUUUCAUGCAAGUGGGACAGUACAAAUCAGGUAGCAUGAAGUUCGAGCUGUGCAAGCAUUUUGCUGUAGCCUUUUCUUGUUUCUAGUCACCAUUACACUUUCUCAAGAGCACAAGACUGAAAGUCACCCUCCUUUUGAGCUGAAAAGAUCAAAGGGCUGCUGCUAAUUUUUGUUUUCCAUUGCAUGUGAAAAGAAAAGUUCACUGGACAGUCUUCAGGACUGUUAUUCCCAAUAGGAAGAGGCUUUGACUAUAUUAAGACCAUGUUUAUAACUCAUUCCCUCCCAGAGGUGCUCAUGUUGUUUUCUUAGCUGGGUCCUAAUACUGGAGUACUCUCACAUGCAAGGUUACUCCAGGCUCAGUAUCCACUCUUUAAGAUGUUAACAAUGAUUUGGCUGUAGUAGCUGGCUCUCUGCAAGGUUCUAUGGCCUGCUGCUGUUUUCCAUAUUACCAUUAUGGGUUGGCAAGCUGGGUAUUGAGACUCAUAGGGUGAAGCUAAUCCCUGCUUUUGCACUCUUGCAGAAAUAUUGGCAGGACUUUAGGCUAUGAAGAGAAAUGGAUGGAGAAGGGUUGGGGAGAGGCUGGAAACAGCAUUUGAGACUCUGCUGUGAGUCUUACUACUGGCAGUUUGUGUUCAGUGCAAUAAAGUGCUAAAAGUGCUUGUUUAGGAAAGCUGACAGGAGAACAGAAAGGUAAACUUUGCUGCUCCAGAUCCAGAGCUCCUUCCUGACGCUUUGACUGGAUAGGCUUAGCUUACUGUUUUAGAGCAAACAAAGCAACAUUGCGUUGUGGUGCCAGAGAAGUAAUAGAGCGCUUCCUGUACUUAAAAAUCAAUUCUACAUUCCCUGCAGAAAUGCACAUGGUUUUCUGUGGAAUAAAUACAGUUCAACAUGUUUGGUAUUAAUAUUGUUGGCUUCUUGCUGUUCAUAUGUAUUUUUGUGCCAGAAUAAUUUUAUACAAGAAAAAUAUGUCUUGAAAGCUUUCAUACAGAUGAAAAGCAGUACUUUUCACUUGGAAAAGGCGUCCAAAACGCCUCGUGGGGCAUUCUGUUCUGUAUCUCAAUCUAUAAUAUGACCUUCCCAAAACAUUUAGCUCCUUGCCAUACACCCAGUAGGCACCUUCAGUGGGAGAGCUGGCAUCCAAGAUACCAAAGGAGAUCUUUGAUGGGAAAGAGAAGUAUUUUAACUGGCAGACUGAGAAGGUGAAUCUACAUGAAACUAAGUCACUAAGCAAAAAGUUACUGUUUACUCCUGAAGAUAACAGUGAUAUUUAUAUUUAUUUAUUUACUUUUGACAGGCCUUUGAUUCAUUCACCACCGAAUACAUCACAAGUGAGUAGGUUUGGCACUAGGAGGUCAGGACAGGGAGCUCAUAAAGAUAAGGUAAUACAUUGUGACAAGAUGAGCGCUGUUUGGUGGAUUAGGAGCACAUUACUCUAGAUAUGUAGAAUAAAACUGAGUCUAAACAGAACCCUUUGCAGUCACCACUUUUGCAUGCCUGAUUAGGAAGGGAAAAAAAAAAAUAAAGCUUUUACUGAUACCUAACCAAUAUGUCGUUAUUGGACAUGAUUCUUUAAGGUAUAUAUUACGUCUUUAUUGUGAAGUGUAGCAUUCAUGGUAUAUAGGAAUGGGUGUGUAACAUGUCAAAAAAGAUAAAUGCCAACAAGCCAAGGUCUCAACUGUAGUUCAGGGUGUUUGGGUGUCAGGCUAUUGGUACCUGAAUCUAAGGAGUCCCACAAGCACAAAAGAUGGCAGGGCUCUAAUCACAACAGUAGAUCUAAUAAGGAAACCAGAUGAUUUUGUGAAAAAACAAGAUAUGUAGGAAGGCACCUAGAAGACUGCGAAGUAAUAUAUCCCUUAGAGGCAUCAGCAUGAAAGUUAGUACCAGCUUGCUGUGCAGUCAUAUCACUGCUUUCUAAAAGAAGCACACAUGCAACAUAUCUUGGCUGAGCAUCACUUUGGUGGGGGCUGGCAUUCAAGGCUGCUUAUUAGUUGUGAAGGUGUUUUAAAUUUUUUUUUUUCUAUCAUCUUAGGUUUUACACUUCAUGGCAUGGCAAACAUUGCAAGUGAGGGAAAAAUUAUUAUUCUGUGUUCCUCUAGUGGUGUCUACACAUAGUUAUUUGUCAAGGUAAUUAUAGCUUGAGUAUGUAUUAGGGAGAUGUGUUCAAAUUAGCCUGCUCAGAUAAGAGUAGAAAUGUAGCUGGGACAGUGUAGGCUGUGCAGCAUACCAGGGGCUGUCAGUAGAUGAAUCCAUAGUCACCGUGGCUGUGCUGCUAAUAGCAUAACCAGUCUACUGGUUUCCAGUCUGGAUAGAUCUUCUUGUGCUGCAGUCACACUUGGUGUUUGCAGGCAGCUGUCUGUAUUCCUGGGGUGAGGUGAGUGUCUCAGCACUAGCAGGCCAAAGUGCAAGGCAUAUGGAAACUGUAAAGGUAUUUUAUUAGAAUUCUGAGGUCUCGGAGAUUUCAGUUUGGUCCUACAAGCAUCAUCUUCAAUACAACGCUGCAGAGUUAGUCCUUUAGGUGGGUUCAACAAACAAAAUUAUUAACAAAAUUACAGACUGGUUUGGGAGCAAAAAGGUUUGUUUGCAUGUCUUAGCAGAAAUAUUGUGAAUAUGUGCCGUUUCCUGGGCUCACUCUUUCGAUUUGCCUUGUGAAUGUGUUGUCUACUCCUCUGCACAUAAAAGAAUCUCCUCCAGAGGGCAUCAUUGGUUCAAGCACGAUGUCCAGGGUGCAGCUUCAUCCUUUUUUUUCCUCCUUUGUAGUCUAUUGACAAGAAAGCUUAAAAGCCUAAUGAUUUUCAAAUCUAGUUAAAACGCCAUAGAAGGUAAAGAAUCUUCAAUUCUAUAAUUUUAGUAUAAAGUAAAACUGGAUUUUUAGCGUCUACAGCCAGCAUUUUAAUUUUCACUUAAAAUAGGGCCGUAGUAAAAUAAAAAGGGUUGUUCAUUCAGAAAUUUGCUUGGUUUACCUGUUUCAUUGCCACUCUCAUUUCUAGCUACUACUUCAAUCAGCCACUAUUUGUGUGCGUGUGUCAAAUUUGCAUCAGUAAAAUUAACUGUCACCGUCCAUCCCAUCAUGGAUUUCCUGCUGUUAUGCACUAUGGUUCGUAAAUUGAGCAGAUUCAUUCUAAGAGUGACAAAUGUGAUAAUUCUCAGGAGAUUCCAUCUGGUACUUUGCAGAGAGCUUCCUGUCUGCUAUCUUCUCAGGUUCCCAAACCCACGAUAAUUAAAUGAACUGCAAUUUAUCUCUAAACCCGUAUACUACUAAAUUUCUCUUAUUCCUUCUGGAGGAACAGCUGUAUUUCUCUAUCACUGUAUUGUUAAUAAGCACUGGGCUAAUGAUUAGUUCUUCAAAGAGUAGGCUUCUAAAUAAGAUGAUAUAACACUGGCAUCAGAAAGCAAGCCAAGAAAGAAAUGGCAGCAAGAAAACAAAGUCACAUUUAACCCCCAUUUUUACUUUUGUAUGAUUGUCUUGCUGCAAGAGGAUUUAGAAGAUAGAACUGAACUACAUCCUGGGUCCUGGAGUGAGAAAUUCCUUCGAAGAACCAAGCCUUGUAUUCCUCACAAAAAGGAUUAACAGUCUCUGAAUGCCUGACUAAUUUCUUAAACAUGGUUCAUGCAGCUAUAAGGAAAACUAUAGCAAUUCUAAUACUCCACUGCUGUUUGCUUCCUCAGAGAAGACAGAGGCAGAGAAAGAAAGAAAUAGAUGGAGCAAAAGACCUGAGACAGAACAGUGCUGAAGUCAAGUCAGCUCAUAUCAUUUGCGGAAUUGUACAUGCACUUGGUGUAGAAGGAUCAGCUCUGAAAUGUGAAUUAAAAAAAUAAUAAGCUUCAGAAGCUGAAGGCACGUCAGUCAUUUCUAAUGGAAACUGUGGAUAAAUUGGAUGAAGUAUCAAGGGUUCGGGUGCUAAUAAUUCCCGUGUCAGAGGUCAGUUGUUUGCUAUUUGCACUAUUAGUGCUUGUGCCCUCUGCAACAGCUUCUGCUGUCCUGCCAGCUGCUGUCUGCUCCGCACUGCACACGCACCGCCGGGGGAUGGAGCAGGGAUCUCAUCACAGUCAGACCUCUUGAUAUUUUGAGAUAAUGAUUAUUAUUAGUGCCAACACCCCUUUCAGGGGGACCGUCGCACUAAACUACUGCACAAAAUUGGCCGUCCCCAUUUGUUAAUUAAUUUUGUUUGUAAAAUACUCCUCUGAGGGAGAGGGAAUAAAUGUUACCAUUAAGGACUUAAAUGGGCUUUCAGAUGAAAUACCAUAACCAGCUGCAGGUCAGCAACAAACCAUUCUUUGUUAAGGUGUUUUCCUUUCACAGAGAUACAGACUUAACAAGCUGAAUAAUCUCAUCCUUUUAAGGUAGACUGUUAAGGUAGACUAUGUCUGCGGUCAAAAAUACCCUACAGCAGAAAGGAACAAGCAUUGGUUCUUUCCAACCGGCCAUUGCUUUUAGUAUUAAAUGUUCUGAAAAGAACUGUGCAAAGGGCUACAGUGUCCUCCUGCUCGUGGUUCAUAUCUUACACCUCCUUAGCUGCUAUUAACAUUAUAAAGUAAUCUUCAGCAAAAAAAAAAUCCCUAACUGGCCCAUACAAGAGCAUAUAAAGUAUAAUCUUACCCAGGUUAUAAAAACAACCAGCCAACCAAAUGAACAAAAAACCUCGAUACUUGCUAAUACUAUAAGCAUCGUGAAAUCAGUAGUGUGUGAAAUUGCCUUAGAAUAAGGCUCCCCCUACAGCCCCCCUCCCUCCAAAAACCAUCAGCUUAACACAAGCCUGAAAUCUUGAAAUUACAAGGAGAAAUUACUUUUUGGCCUAACCAUCCUCCGACCUUUAAGCCACCAGCACACCGUGCUAUGGCCUUAACCCAGAUAACCUCAGGCGUUCUGUUAGAGCAUUGUUUAAGUAUCCUUAAGAACCCCAGUAUUGCAUAACAAACUUACCAAAAAAUAUGGAGUUUUGUAGGUAUAUCGGGCAUGCAAGAGGAAUCUUCCUAGGGAAGAUGGAAAAAUAUUUAGACAUUAGAAAGGAAUGUGCAGGAAACAACUGUUGACACAGUGGUUCAGAGAAGUCUGAACAAAAUAAGCAAAUACAUCACCGUAGGUAUUAGCAGAAGAAAACCAACUCUCACACAAACUACCUGGAUACAAUUCUUAAACUAAAGAGGGUAAAAAAAAAAUGUCAAAAGAUACAUGAAAUGGGAAUAGCAAUGAGGUGAGGUUGUUUUUCACAUAUGGCAGCGGUUGUGCUAUGUUUAUUGCUUCUACUCAACAUCAUUUUACUAGUUAGUGUAGCAGCAGAUACUGCACUGAUAGCAUACAUAAUAGGAGCCUUGGAUUUCCCUCUCAAGGCAAGCAAUAGUUCACAGAAAAUAACUACACAACAUUAGUAGGCAUAACACAAGAGAAGAUGUGAAUGUGUCAUUAAUUGUGUGCGACCAAAAACUGCCCCCACACUUACUGUGAUUCACUAAACCUACUCUGAAUCGAUGAUCUAUAUUUUUGAGGUGCCUUUACAAACCUUUGUGGCACAACAUUUCCCAGACAUGGACAGAAAUAGGUAAAAAUUCCAAUUUUGUAUUCGUCUUCAAUUAAAUGGAAUUCACAAUUAAACUGGCGACAGGGUACAUUGAACCAUCUGGAUGUAAUGCAAACAAAGGGUCCUUGCAGCUAACUAUGGCCUCUGAAAGAGGUGUGAAUGAGCAGGCUGUUCCCACCCUUGCAAGGAGCCUUAUCAGGAAUGCUAUCUAGCAAUUUUAUUACCUUUUGUUAUUAUUACUCAGCAGUAGUUUUCUUGACACUUUAGUUUUUAUAUUAAUUAACACUAAUGUUUUAAUAUGCCUUUUUAAUGUAGCGAUGUAAAAGAGUAACUUGUGUUUUCUUGUUCCACAAGCACCUUGGCAGAUUUUUUCUUAAGCCAGAAUAGGUAUUUCUUAAAAGCUUUUAAUUGUCUCAUUAGUACUUCAUACAGAGAAAAGCCGUUAUCAGAGGUAAAUAAUUUUACAUGUACCCAGGGGUACAAUCAGAUAUGAAAAUUAUUAGACAAUCCUGAGGAAAGAGCUGAAAGAAAAGAUUUGGAUGGAGUACUAUUCUACUAACAAUUACAUUCUUAGCAUCAUGUAUUUUUAGUCCUUAUGCGCAUAACUAAGCCUGAAAGCAAAUGAAUCAAACACAAAGUACUCCAUCCAGUUCAUUAUUUACUGACCUUGGGAAGAUCCUGUAAACCAGUUUCAUCUGAUGAGGAAUGCCUCUCUAAUGAGACAUACUAACAUGAAAGGUGACCCAGGGCUCUGCGUGAGAUGGAGCUAAUAACUUCUGCUGAGCUGAUAAAUAUGGGUUUCACACCAGCAUUGCCCAAGCUAGUGGGGUCUAGUGAUGCUGUG